CUCGUAGGUGGCCAACUAAGUCAGACGUGAAAUCCCUCGGCUUAACCGGGGAACUGCGUCUGAUACUGGAUGGCUUGAGUUUGGGAGAGGGACGCGGAAUUCCAGGUGUAGCGGUGAAAUGCGUAGAUAUCUGGAGGAACACCGGUGGCGAAGGCGGCGUCCUGGACCAACACUGACACUGAGGAGCGAAAGCCAGGGGAGCAAAACG
rnacentral:rRNA from 1 species